UACGUAGGGUGCGAGCGUUAAUCGGAAUUACUGGGCGUAAAGCGUGCGCAGGCGGUUUUUUAAGUCAGAUGUGAAAUCCCCGGGCUCAACCUGGGAAUGGCAUUUGGGACUGCAAGGCUUGAGUGCGGCAGAGGAGACUGGAAUUCCUGGUGUAGCAGUGAAAUGCGUAGAUAUCAGGAGGAAUACCGAUGGCGAAGGCAGGUCUCUGGGCUGACACUGACGCUCAUGCACGAAAGCGUGGGGAGCAAACAGG
rnacentral:rRNA from 1 species